ensembl:lncRNA
CAUCAAACUGUUUAUUUCAUGAUGACAUCAAACUGUUUAUUUCAUGAUGACAUCAAACUGUUUAUUUCCAACGUGUCUGCAGGAAGCGGCUGUCGGUCUGUUUGAUAAGUUGAUAAAGUAAAACACAGAAAUGAGCUCUGGGUGCAGCACAGGGGGGGCGGAGCGUCAGGCAGGCUCAUGCAAACAUAUUAAAACCAUAUUUAGGGGACGUAUUAAAAGCUUCUAUUAACAUUUUUCUUUCUUAGAAACUCGUUAUGAAACUAUAAACUCAUCACAGCAAAAGUCCGGCUUUCACACGUUGACUUUAACGAGGAGAGAAGGGGGGGAAAUGUCAGCGGGCACUUUUUAUUCUUAUGCAUCCUUUAAUGAAUAAUAAAUUCAUUAUUUUAAUUAAACGUGUAACAUCUCUCUGUCAGGUGUGUUUCUGUUCUAAACUAAAUGUUCUUUUAUUUUGGUUAUUAGGUGCUGAUCAACCCUAAUAAUUAUAGACUGAGAAACACAUUUCAUAACAGAGGAAUAAACGACCGAUUUUCAUGAAUGACUUUAAUUAAGAUGUUUGAUGCUUGAUUUCCGUCCCGAGGAGGCGAGCGGAGGAGCUUGCUGCCGGUGAGCAGGUGCGAUUGGUCCCUGCUGAUCACAUGACGAGUCCUGCAGAAGAGAUCAAACAGGACGCUCUCGUUGGCCUUCGUCUCCUCACCUCAGGUCCUUCGUCUCCUCACCUCAGGUCCUUCGUCUCCUCACCUCAGGGCCUUCGUCUCCUCACCUCAGGGCCUUCGUCUCCUCACCUCAGGUCCUUCGUCUCCUCACCUCAGGUCCCUUCGUCUCCUCACCUCAGGUCCUUCGUCUCCUCACCUCAGGUCCUUCGUCUCCUCACCUCAGGGCCUUCGUCUCCUCACCUCAGGUCCUUCGUCUCCUCACCUCAGGGCCUUCGUCUCCUCACCUCAGGUCCUUCGUCUCCUCACCUCAGGGCCUUCGUCUCCUCACCUCAGGUCCGAUCGUUUCCACGCGGCUCCUCUGAGGUGCUUCUCUCGACUCUGAGCGUUCGCAAUCCGGAGGAAUAUCCAAAUCCUCCCGCCUCACUUCUUCUAAAAAUACCACUUCAUUAAAGCC